UACGGAGGGUGCAAGCGUUAAUCGGAAUUACUGGGCGUAAAGCGCACGUAGGUGGUUCUCUAAGUCAGCUGUGAAAUCCCCAGGCUCAACCUGGGACUUGCAGUUGAAACUGGUGAGCUAGAGUAGGGUAGAGGGGUGUGGAAUUCCAGGUGUAGCGGUGAAAUGCGUAGAUAUCUGGAGGAACAUCAGUGGCGAAGGCGACACCCUGGACUCAUACUGACACUGAGGUGCGAAAGCGUGGGGAGCAAACAGG
rnacentral:rRNA from 1 species